rnacentral:tRNA from 1 species
GCCCGCCUAGCUCAAUCGGAUAGAGCGUCAGACUCUUACUAGGCUGGGCAUCUGAAGGCUGCGAGUUCGACCCUCGCGGUGGGCU